UCACCUUUGAUUAACAUAACAUCACCCCUUCGUAGCUUUCUCUCUUUCCCGUCAUGUGUUAAAUCAUGCCUUUCGCGAAGUGCUCUCAUGUAUUCUCGUUUCCAUCGUUGCCAUAACGCGUCCUUACAUUUCUUCAAAUAUCUCGCCCUCUUUCGCAGGUCUCGUUCUUCUAUAUCCUCAGGUGAUAACUCCAUAAGAUAAUUGGCU